CUUUUCUAUUCUUUACCCAAGAUGACCCCUGUAUUGAACUCUUAUGGAGAUUUUAUCCGAUGCAGUGCAUUUUUCUGCAAAGUGGAGAUUUAUUUGUAUGGAUUUAUAUAACGACUCUAAUAAGAACGAGCUCGAACGAAGCCGUCACAGAUUGACCGAGAAAGGCAAGGGGGCUUAGGAGUACUGCUUGGUGAACCUCUGGUGGAACUCCUUCACUUUGCUCAGGAGGAUCUUCAGCUUGUCAGCGGGUGGCAGGAUGGUCAUCCUGUACAAGAAGAAAAAUAUGUUUCAAAGACAUGUAUAUCACACAUUUUACAUACUUUUCACAUUCCUGGGGGGUGAUUCAGUUACAGAUGUCUGCCAGCAAUUAUUAUUAUUAUCAUUUUUAUUCUAAGAAUAUAAAUUGCCUUCAAUUGACCUGAUAUCAAUUUACUUCAGUUUUACUAUACAGUGGCUAACCUAUUUUUACACUUUUAUAACAGGAACUUUAAAAUGGUCAGACAGUAUUUUUUUUUCAUGCCAAAUUCUGAACUACAGUGUUUCUCAAUGUGGGGGUAGUGUGACUAGUUGAGCAUGUGCUCCACCUAGUGGUACCGUAGAGAAUGACUGAAUUAAACAGAAAUAUUCACAUUUAAAAAUAUGACAUUCAAGCAAACACAAAUAAAUCUGUAUUUAACUUUCUGUACGAUUUAUUUGUAUGUCAUCUUUAACUGUUUGUUUUUAAAAUCUAUGAAGUACAGUUUUUUUAUCUAACUUUUGAUGUGCAAUAAAUUUUUAACUU